rnacentral:rRNA from 1 species
ACAGCAGCAGCCGCGGGAAUACGUAGGGAGCAAGCGUUGUUCGGAUUUACUGGGCGUAAAGGGCGCGUAGGCGGCGCGGUAAGUCACUUGUGAAAUCUCUGAGCUUAACUCAGAACGGCCAAGUGAUACUGCUGUGCUAGAGUGCGGAAGAGGCAACCGGAAUUCUUGGUGUAGCGGUGAAAUGCGUAGAUAUCAAGAGGAACACCUGAGGCGAAGGCGGGUUGCUGGGCCGACACUGACGCUGAUGCGCGAAAGCCAGGGGAGCAAACGGGAUUAGAUACCCCUGUAGUCCCUGUCUCUUAUAC